rnacentral:rRNA from 1 species
CAGGGAGGUAGUGACAAUAAAUACCUUACAGAGGUCUCGUUAACCGAGAUCUCUCAAACGGAAUGAGUACAACGUGAAUCCUUUAACGAGGAUCGACUGGAGGGCAAGCCUGGUGCCAGCAGCCGCGGUAAUUCCAGCUCCAGUAGCGUAUAUUAAAGCUGUUGCGGUUAAAAAGCUCGUAGUUGGAUAUCAGUGCGUGUCCGGUCCGGUAUGCCCGGCGGCGGCGCUCGCGCGUCACUGCUGGGCUCCCAAAUAUCGGCUGGCCGCAUUCAAUCGUGCCGGAUCCGUCGACGGGCCGUUCUUCGGAGGGGCCUGUUGGCGACCGGCGACGUUACCUUGAACAAAUUAGAGUGCUCAAAGCAGGCUCUGAAUGCCUGUAUACAUAUUCAUGGAAUUGGAGAAUACGUCCCUGGCUCGAUUUGGUUGGUUUUGAGAGUCGAAGGGAAAUGAUUAAUAGGGACUGACGGAGGCAUUCGUAUUGCGACGCGAGGGGUGAAAUCCUGUGACCGUCGCACGACGAACUACUGCGAAAGCAUUUGCCGAGAAUGUUUUCAUUAGUCAAGAACGAAAGUUAGAGGUUCGAAGGCGAUCAGAUACCGCCCUAGUUCUAACCGUAAACGAUGUCGACCAGCAAUCCGCAACGGUCACUACACGGACUGUGCGGGCAGCUUCCCCGGGGAAACCAGAGUGUAUGGACUCCGGGGGAAGUAUGGUUGCAAAGCUGAAACUUAAAGGAAUUGACGGAAGGGCACCACCAGGAGUGGAGCUUGCGGCUUAAUUUGACUCAACACGGGACAACUCACCAGGCCCGGACACCGUAAGGAUUGACAGACUGAUAGCUCUCUCUUGAUUCAGUGGGUGGUGGUGCAUGGCCGUUCUUAGUUGGUGGAGUGAUUUGUCUGGUUUAUUCCGAUAACGAACGAGACUCUGGCCU